rnacentral:rRNA from 1 species
GAUGAACGCUAGCGACAGGCUUAACACAUGCAAGUCGAGGGGCAGCACGGGAGUAGCAAUACAACUGGUGGCGACCGGCGCACGGGUGAGUAACGCGUAUGCAACCUACCUAUCAGAGGGGAAUAACCCGGCGAAAGUCGGACUAAUACCGCAUAAAACAGGGGCACCGCAUGGUGAUAUUUGUUAAAGAAAUUCGCUGAUAGAUGGGCAUGCGUUCGCAUUAGGUAGUUGGUGAGGUAACGGCUCACCAAGCCGACGAUGGAUAGGGGAACUGAGAGGUUGGUCCCCAACACUGGUACUGGGCCACGGACCGGACUCCUACGGGAGGCAGCAGUGAGGAAUAUUGGUCAAUGGGCGAGAGCCUGGACCAGCCAAGUCGCGUGAAGGAAGAAGGAUCUAUGGUUCGUAAACUUCUUUUGCAGGGGAAUAAAGUGCAGGACGUGUCCUGUUUUGUAUGUACCCUGAGAAUAAGGAUCGGCUAACUCCGUGCCAGCAGCCGCCGUAAGAC